GGACGCCAGGUCGGCAAUGCCGGUAGAAAGAAAAUCUGCUGGAGGACAGUCUCCGGGAGAAAGACACUUGUCUGGUCUGUUUGGUGGAGACGAGCAAUCUGAAUGUGAAAUAAAACCUACUCACCGGGUGAAAUUUCAGGAAGCGAAGCAGCUGUGAGAAAAAUGCACCCCGAAUCCAAACAUACAGUCCAUGAUCUUCAGCUUCAAGCUAAAGGAGGGAUUUGCAUGGUGGUGGGACUUUGGAAACCAUCAGCAGCUCCUUGUGGCACAGCGGCAAGUAAAACCAUUCACACCGUGCGUGCCUGUGUGUGUGUGUGUGUGUGUGUGUGUGUGUGUGGCUGUCUGUGUGUCUGUCUGUGUCUGUGUGGGGGAGAAGCACAAGACCCAAAGAAACUGAAGGGGGAGGGGAACGGAAGGAAAUACAAAUAGCAAGAGGAGGGGAUACGAUUUGGUGUUCUCUUGUGUGUGUGUGUGUCUGUGUGUGUGCUUCUUCUUGUUUUGUGUUUUGCUGCUGUUUUUGUUGUUGAUGAUGGUGGUGGUGAUCCUUAAGGAAACCGGGGGAUCUGAACAGUGGGCAGGACGAGAGGGGUUUUGCCGACCCGGGCCGAGCAAAGACAAGCCUGCACCGAGCAGCAGGUGACUCGCAGGCGCGCUCGUCCCGCUGUCUGCGGCAGAGGGGCGGGCUGGGGCGCUGGGGUGGGGACACCAGGAGGGGUCCCCGCGCCGGAGCCAGGAUCCGCUGAUAGCCCCCGGGAGGGAAGAGGGAGGUGGAAGGGAGGGAGACAGGGAUAGCGCGGGGAGGGGCAGCCGCGGAGAGGCGCGGCGCAGGGGGCACCGGGCUCGCCGCCGGGCCUCGGAACACGAGAGAGCGGCACGGCCGGGACGGGCAGCCGGCCAUCGUCUGCCUGCAGCCGCAACCCAGCGAGCGACAGCAGCGGUAUCGACCGGGUUUCAUGCUAGCCCAAAUGAUGUCAUAGGCUGAACUUGUUUUUCAGUCAUUUCACACCAAAGAUUGUCUAAGUCAAGCAAGAAGAAUUUCGAGUCUGACUGACACCACCAAAAAAGAGAAAAUUAACUUGAUUACAGAUUGGCUCAGACCCUUAAUAGUCUUAUCACUGGUCACCAGAGAGAAGAGAUCAGCACCUGCCCCUCCACUCUCCCUCAUGAGGAAGCUGUAGGCCAUCAUGAGGCCUCCCCUGUCUCCGCCUCUCUGGGUUAAACAAACCACAUGACCUCAGCUGCUCCUCAUAUGUCUUGCUUUCUAGAUCCUUCACCAUUUUCGCAGCCGUCCUUUGGACACUAACAGUUGUACAUCUUUUUUAUAUUGUGGUGCCCACACAGUGCUUGGGAUUUGGCCAAACCAGCACAGAGCAGAGUGGGACAGUCACUUCCUGGAACAGCUAGCAAUGCUGUGUUUGAUGCACCCCGGCGUACCCCAGUGGCCCUCCUGGUUACCAGGGCACACUCCUGACUCAGAUACAGCUUGCCGUUAUUCCCAUAUUACUUUCCAUAUGCUGUUUUCCCACCACAAGUCCUCCAGUCUAUUUGUAUAUUCAAGAUUGUCUGGUCUCAGGUGAACAGUCUGGCACUUGCUCUUGUUAAAUUUUACAUGGUUGGUGAUUGCCCAGCCCUUUAAUGUGUCAAGAUUUCUCUGCAAAGGCCUCUAUCUUGGCUAUAGCAAAUGAUUGUGUUGUCUUUUGAGUGUUUUUCAAUGCCUCACAAAAUAAUCUUCUCCAUAAUUUUGUCAGUCACUAAAGUGAGACUGACAGGCCUGUAAAUACCAGGGCCUUCUUUCUUGUCCUUCUUGGAGAUGGGGACAUCUGCCAGCUUCCAAUCAACAGGGACCUCUCCAGAUUCCCAAGAAUGUUAAAGAGAAAUUGAAAAGUCUCAAUGACAUCAGAUGGUUCUUUCAUUACCCUGGGAUGAAUCCAUUGGUCCCCAUACAUGUCUUAUACUCACCCUAUUAUUUGGCAGUAGAGAACAAAAGAUGUUUUUUUGUUUGGUUGGUUGGUUUGGUUUGGUUUGGUUUUCAGGCUUUUAGUAUCAUUCAAAUACCAGUCUUCUGAGAUGGGAUAAUGCAUAUGAAAAGACCAAUGGUAUUUUGCUACUCUUUUCGGGCCUGUAAGACCUGUAAGCUCACAUGACCUCACUAGAAAUAGCUAUACAUAUGUGUUUUGAAGGGAGAUAAAUGCACGUCAGAUACGGAGGCAUGAACAUUUCUAGGGCUUGAACAUUUCUAGGGCUUAGCAAACUAGCUACUCAUUCACUGUUCUUGGAAGAUUGAAGUCUCUUUUGUGGAAUCUUUGGUGCAGUUAUUAUCUGUGCUAGGUAGAGCACUACAAGGUCCUCUACUUUUAUUGGACACAGCAGCCCAAACCAGAAACACUAUCUUUGAAUGAACAGAUGGAUUUAAUGUCUGUGCUGCAAUAGACAUAGCUUUAUAAUUGUAAAUUCUCCUUAGUGUAUAAAGCAAGUGAUCACUGCUAUCUGGUAUCUUGGUGGGUAAAAUCACAUAAUUCCUUCAAAGUAUUCCCAACCUUGACAUUAGAACUGAAGUGGGCAACAGAAAAUGAAGCAAUUUUCUUCAAAUCCAUGAGAAAAUGACAAUAAUAAUGUGUUAGAAUAUUGUUACUGUCAUUUUUCUCUGUUUUAUUUGUUUAUUUAUUUUUAAAUUAAGUCAUAUUUGGCCAUGUUUCCAAGAUUUUGUAGGCAACGAUAAGGGCUCUGAAUUUUUAAGUAACUUCUGAUAUAUUAAUGUAUUCACUUUUUAUUGGUAGCUGGACUUUAAAAAUCACCAAAGACUGUUACUUUCAAGAUGAAAAUAGAACAGUAGAGAAAAGAGUAAAGAAGAUGUGUUUAAAAUCCCAUUGAAGCUUUGUGCUGGAGUGUCUUAUAAAUCAAAUGUCAUGUUUUAUUGUGGAAAAUUUCUUCUCAAUGACUGUGGUAGCCUACUCUUCAGUAUCAGAAUAAAUGUCCUACACAUUAUGCCAUAUGUACUUCUAGUAGUUGGUGUAAUGGAAAUGGAAUGGAGGAAACUAUACCACAAGCACUAACUUUACAAGCACUUUGAGAAACACUAGCCUAACAUUUCAACAGAUCUGCAGAGGAAUGGAGAGGUACUUUCAGUGUUUUUGUGUUUAAAUGCAGAAGCCAUGCAUUUAAACAGCAGGUAGCUGACUAUAGUAUGUCACACAGACUUAAAAUCUGGUUGUUGGUAUUUCGUUACUCCUGUGUCAUCAGAAUUGAGUCAUUUCUGGACUAGGCAAGAUAUUAACAAAAAUAAUUAAAAAAUAAAUAAAAAUAAUAAAUAAAAAAUCACUGCCCAGAGAGGUUGGAAUCUGGAAAACAUUUGAAUUGAUAAAGGAGGACAGAGAAGUGUUAACAUGAACAGAAGACUCUUCAGUGUAUUUUCUGUGGUGCAGAUAAAAGACCAAGACCAUCUUUCAGAUGAGAUUUUGGAAGGGUGGUUGAUUCAAAUGAAAUUCUUUUCUAUCUAUUCUGUGGUACAAAGGACAGACUUGCUGUAAGUUUAGCAAAAACAAUUCUGUAUUCAGCUGGUAGGGGAUCCUGAUUAAAAUCUAUGUACUUUUUCUUUAUGAAUGCUUGCAGAAGUAAAAUAUAUGUUUGUCAGGGUGCAUUAAAGAAAUUUGUCAUGGACUGAAAAGGAACAACUGGCAUAUACCACUGAAAUUAUUGAAUGAUGCUUUGCAGUGUGAAGGAAUUACACACUAGAAAAGUAGGGUUUUACAGGAUAGUUAUGCUGGGAAGAAAAGGGCACGCAUAGAAAGUAAUUUGCAUUUGGAAAAUGGAUUAUUUUACAGAUAUUAUUCCAAAUAUAUAGUCAUUCCCUGAAUAACAUCUGGUGCAUUAUCUCAAUAGAUGUAUUUAUGUCCCAUAUAAAUGAGCUGAACAAAAGAUAAGACUUGAAAAUAAUCUUUGUUAUUAUAUGUCAUUGCCUCAUAAGAAUCAAAAUACAUGGGUCACUAAUGACAAUGAACAAGAACAAUACAGUUUCUUGAACAAUCUGUUCAAUGUGUUUCCAGUCUCUAGCAUACACUUAAAAUACAGCAAUAUUACAAGCAUUUAUCAUUUGUCAAGGCUAUGGAGUUAAUGAGAUAGAAAAAACAUGAUAUAUGUAGAUUGAUGAACUUAAUUUAUUUUGUGUUUAUUUAUUUAUUUAUUUUCUGUUUCUGUCUUUUACAAUUUCUGUGGGAGUUUGGUCAUCGUGGAACAAAAUAGAUAUAUUUUUGUCAGCAACAGCUAUGUCCAUUGUAAUAUUUCAACUUCUUACAGACUUGUGGGGGAUUGAUACUAGAAAGAUCUCAGGUUCUUUUCUCAGUCACAAAGGAAAGGAGGCAGUAAAAAAGAUGUCUUGUGCUUCAUUUAUUUGAUUUGAUUCUCCAUUUGUCAAGGCAGUGGAGCAAAAAGACCAAAUGUGUUUUAUGAAGCGCUCUAGAAUCUGCUUGAUUUGAAGCACAUGCUUAAAAACUUCAGCAAAGAAGGAUGAGAUUAUGUCCUUGAUAGACCUUUAGCAUGUGUUUUUCCAAGUCGCAUGGCAGUAGUAAUUUAUAUAAUUAAGGUGGUGAAAUUCCUUUAUCAUAAAGCAAUGAUUUCAGUCAAAUUUCUUUUAAUGACUUUAUAGGGAGAACAAAUCAAAUUUUAGGACCUAAAUCAGAAAAUGUGUAUCCAGUUUUGAGUUACCUGCCUUGGUUUUGUCCAACCUUAAAAAUAACAUUGACUUUUUGGCAGAAAUCUCUUACACAACAGAACAUUAAUUCAUGUUCCUAUUUUGAACACUAGGAGGUCAAAUGUGUUUCCUUAUGUCUUCAGAUAAAGAUGUGAAAAGCAACAAUGAGAAAAUAUACAUGUAGGAUAAUCUCGGUGCGCAUCAGUUGCACAUUUUGCAUGGCUAAAUAAAACAAAAGAUUACAAAACACAA